ensembl:lncRNA
UUUUUUUUUUCUUCUUCUUUUUACAUGUAGGCCACACUCAAGGCCUACUUGAAUCACAAAUUGUUCAGUAUAACAGAAUCUCGAUACAACAAAGGGGUGGAGGUGAACCCCUUGCAGAGUUUUGCUUCAGACCAGGCCCAUUCCUUCCAAAUUAUGAAAACACUAGAUAACAAAGAAUUGAAGCUGGAGAGGAGAAAACACAAAAGAGGAAAUUUAAAAUCCAAUCAGUGAGGACCACUAGCCAACGACGGAAGCUGGCGUCUAAGUCCCCUUCUCCAGAAGAAGUCCUAUCAUGCUAGCACAACUCCUGUCCAAACACCCAAGGCUGUGAAGCCACCUUCAGGAACGGGGUGGUCCAGCUUCUCAGUGGUACAGGGACGUAUUCAAACUGAGCCACAGCUGCAGGCACCAUGCACCCUAGAUUUCCACAAAACAGUCUCGCUUUCAACUGCUCGAUUCUGUGGUCACACCAGGUGUGCAGUUCAGGCUCAGGAAACAGCCACCUGGCCCAAACCCAAGUGACAUUGCUGAUCGUGCGGGUAUCUCAGGGCAGGCUGAGAACUGCGGGGUUUGCUAGUCAGGCGGAAGAGCCAGAGGCUGGACACUGGAGUGGUGUUAUACGUGGCAACUCAUUGACGGUGUUUUUGAAAAAAUACAGCACAGGAGUUCCCGUUGUGGCUCACCUGGGAACUUCCAUAUGCCUCGGGUUCGGCCCUAAAAAAAAAGACUGAAAAAAAAAAAAAAUUCUGCAGCCGAUGCCUGCCCCGCACGUCUGCAGGACGCAGCAAGAACUGACAAUCCUUCCUAGAUAAAUAUCUGGAAAGAAGUCGGGAAACAAUUAAAACUAGGAGCUAAUAAAUGAUGGAGAAGCCCAUGAGCCAAGUCCUGGCCCACUUCCCAGUCUUCAUUCAUGCAUCAAAAAACCCCAGCGGUCCGAGGCUUCAAGAGGGCAGCUGGGCAGUGGGGCUGUCCAGCGUAAUAUAAAUGGGAAUUAGAUAUGAUCAAAUGUACUCAUUGCAUUCCCAACAGCAGACACUAUCUCCCGACGCCCCCUCCCGCGUCCCCCCAGCCAAGCCCCCUCCUCGGGAACUCGAGACAGAUGAUCUUGUAACCAGGCAACCAGGCGGAGGGAAGGUUCCAGAGUUCCUCCGCUGGCGCGCGGCGGGCUGCGUUCUGCUCGGGGUGGCUACUGGGGUGCAGUGCCGUGAUACCCUCUUUUGGACCAUAAAAAAUGGGGGGGGCGCUGAGGGGCUCCAGCGUCUUCCCUUUCACUCCAAGCCAGGCCAGUGGCCGGCUUUGCAGGGAGACAGGUCCUGACCCCCCAGCAACAACCAUGGCUACGGAUGGACCUGCAUGUGAUGCAAGGUCCCAGGCCACAGUCUUCCCAGAAAGACCCUCCCUCAGAGCAGCCCAGCCUCCUUGACUCUUUGCCUCUGCGGCUGUUUUAACAAAUGCUCCCAAGAUUCUGGGGAGCCUCAGAGGUUCAGCCAGGUCAGUGGCACCCGGGCAUAUAUGUGCCUGCAAAGAGAAUGCCCUGCACCCACAUGAGAGGGGGGACGGAAAAAGGAUCCUGGGCUUCUUGACCGACCAAACGGACGCUCUGUGAGCAGGGAGCACGUGCAGCUGUCCACCCUGACGAGUCAAUGCUUUCAAGGCCCUUUUAGACACAUCGAGGGCUCUUUCACUGGGCACCUGGCACAAGCCGGGGGUCCCCACACCCAAGGUGACACUGGCUGCUCACGGGGUAGGUGGCUAUUGGGAUUAUCAUGCUGAUCCUGCUAACAGUGAGGCUCGGGGACAGAGGGGGACAUGCAACGUGUACCACGAGCAAGGAACUGGCUAGGAGCUUGGCCAGAAGGAUUUGUAUACACGUUCCCAUGAACUUUACUCUCACCCGCCAAGUAUACGGAGACCCAAGAUCCACACCUGGGAGCCCACUGCGUGAUGUGCCCACGCCCGCCCUGCACCCUCCCCAGGCAGAGCCUUUUGUUAGUGGCCAUCCCAUUUUAGGGCGCUGUGUGGGAUUAUGCUGGCGGCAGCCAGCGGACAAGUGAGAAGAGGACUGCGGGCAGACGUGCACCUCCGCAGAGGGCCUGGCACCACCCCUGGGGUCUAAAGACCCCCCUGUUCCCUUCCCACCAGCCGGCUCAAGUCAGGAGGCAAAGCAGAGUCCACAUACUCUGAAUUCAGGGCAGAGCAGUCAUUUUCCUUCUUUCUCUCCAAUAUUCAGAGCGCACUCACUAAAGAAAAUGAGUGACGUUGGAAAAUUGGAAAUUGCAAAGAGAAUCAUUUUUUUUCCAGGAGGUUCCUGUGGGUAUCAGAGGGCGAGUAAGGGGAGGAAAUGAAGGGGGGGGAUAUCACCCGAGUAUCUGAUCAGAUUCGCUGACAACACUAAGAUACACACACACUCCCCACACCUCCCUCUGCUUAGCCGCGUGAAUAAACAGGAGUGUGUCUCGCAUCUCUAUCUGAAUGGAAAUGACCGUGGCCAGAGGCUGGAGUGGAGAAGAGGCAGAGACCACAGCCC